AACAUCGCGCACCUGCGGGAACCUGCGGAGGGAUCAUUACCGAGUUAUACAACUCAUCAACCCUGUGAACAUACCUAAAACGUUGCCUCGGCGGGAACAGACGGCCCCGUAACACGGGCCGCCCCCGCCAGAGGACCCCCUAACUCUGUUUCUAUAAUGUUUUUCCUGAGUAAACAAGCAAAUAAAUCAAAACUUUCAACAACGGAUCU
rnacentral:misc_RNA from 1 species